CCUACGGGAGGCAGCAGUGGGGAAUAUUGCACAAUGGGGGAAACCCUGAUGCAGCGACGCCGCGUGAGUGAAGAAGUAAUUCGUUAUGUAAAGCUCUAUCAGCAGGGAAGAAAAUGACGGUACCUGAGCAAGAAGCCCCGGCUAACUACGUGCCAGCAGCCGCGGUAAUACGUAGGGGGCAAGCGUUAUCCGGAUUUACUGGGUGUAAAGGGAGCGUAGACGGCAGUGCAAGUCUGGAGUGAAAGGCGGGGGCUCAACCCCCGGACUGCACUGGAAACUGUACGGCUGGAGUGCAGGAGGGGUAAGUGGAAUUCCUGGUGUAGCGGUGAAAUGCGUAGAUAUUAGGAGGAACACCAGUGGCGAAGGCGGCUUACUGGACUGUAACUGACGUUGAGGCUCGAAAGCGUGGGGAGCAAACAGGAUUAGAUACCCCAGUAGUC
rnacentral:rRNA from 1 species